UAUGUUUAUAGACAGGAGCUGUUUAUUUUGGUUUUCCACCCACAGGGCUGGGGAGAACUGCCUGUGGAGUCUCUCUGCUCAGUGUUGACACGGUGAGUGCAGCUGUCAGCUCCUGCCGCCGCGCACCCUCAGUCUGUCCUCCCGCCCGAGGCUCGCUCUCCACCAAUUAUUCCUGCUGCGAUUUACUGCACGCUACCCCCACCACAACGUGGAUUUGUUCACCCCCCCCCCCUGCUUUUUUUUGUUUUUAUUCGCUUGCUCCCUCGCCCUUGUUCCUCCGCUUAUUGCUUGCCCUGACAUCCUCCUCGCAUUGCCACAUCUGCUGUCGCCGACCUCCUCUCGUUCCGCAGCUGCUGAAUUGCCAUAUUAUUUUAUUCUCUUCCCUCCCUCCUUCUGCUACUCUUCCAAUCUGGGACUCGGUUCCACAAUGCACCCGCGCACAGACUUCCGCCCGCAGACUGCUUCGAGGUAGACACGGCCCUGACUGGGAGACCUUGGGAAUGGGGGGGUUGGUGGUGGGGGGCAGGAUUACUGCAGGAACGGUCUUCUGUACCACUUCUCCCCAACACACACACACCCGGGACUGGGAAACGGUGCACGAGCUGAGUAGGUGGUGGCAUUACCUGCUGCAGGAAAAGAAACGCAGCAACGCUUGUUGUGAGGAGGCACCAGAGUUGCUGCCAGACCUUCUGAGUUCUCCAGAACUUUUUUAAAAAUAAUCUGAUUACAUCACACAUCAAGAUCAGCAAGACCUCAUAAAAUGUUUGAAGUACAUAAGUCAAUACUCUGAAAAAUUAAAAUUAGCACUGCGAUACGCAGAAUAUAGCUUUAGGCACCUCAGCUUGAUGCUGCCAUUACUAUUGAGAACUUCAUUGUUUAUGACAUGGUGCUACCAUUUGAUGAAAGAUUUCAAGCAGACACAUUAAUUUCAGAUUUUUGCCCUGACAGAGAUCCUGUCUACCCUGGUGAAAAUGCCAUAAAACUGGAAUACCUGCCUCCUCAUGCACCAUUUCCAAUUUUUGUGGGGCCCAGUGUGUGUGAAUAAUCUGAUCUUUGUGCCUGCUGAGUUGCUGUUGCUGCUGUCUGGAACCUGGAGUAAGCAGAGCAGGCCAGUUUAGAGCAGUAAUGGUUAGUUUCCGAAAAAAAAUCAAACCUCUGCUGAAUGGAACAAAAACAGAAGUGCUGGAAAAGCUCAGCAGGUCUAGCAGGAUCUGUGAAGGAAAAAAUACAGAGUUAACGUUUCGGGUCUGGUAACACUUCCUCAGUGCUGAAUAGAUUGCUGAUGCAGUUACAGAUCAUCUGCACCAUGGGAGGAAUGAAGAUCACCAGCACCAGACAACAUUCAAGAAAACAAAAUCUGCUGUUAUUCUUAUCAUAAAAUCUUCCAAGUAAUCAACAUGAACAUUCUUUUUUAGAAUGGUCAGCAACUUCAGUAUAAAUUGUUAAAUUGCAUUUGCCAUUGAAAUGUUAAAGACAAGAAAAUGUGUAACUAAAUUAGACACUAUAUUCUUAAUGAUAUUCAUCCAGUAAUAUUAUUUUAAUACAGCUGGUGAUGGAUAUAUUAAAAUGGAGUCCAUAAAUAUAAACUUUUCAUGCUGUUGGAAAGCUGAUUGAGAUACUUGAGAUGACUUAAGUCACUAAUUUUAUUAAAUCUUCCCUUUCUCUCCUGCAUUAGUAAGCAUAAAUUGUAAGUCUGGGUGGUGAUGCAAAGAUUGGCAUCAGUCCAUGCCUUCCAUUAAGAUUGCUUGUCGGUUGUAGUGCAGGUAAAUAGAUGAAGUGUUUUCACCAUGAAACAUUUUCCCUUGCAAGGAUUAACUACUCAGUUACUUUUGUAUCUAUAGAAUCAAUGUCCAAGACAGAACCUAAUAAAGCUUAGGAGCAG